CGGUCUGUAGCUCAGCUGGUAGAGCACGUGACUCUUAAUCAUGGGGCCCAGGGUUCGAUCCCCUGCAGACCGA
rnacentral:tRNA from 1 species